ACGGGUGNGUAACGCGUGAGUAACCUGCCUUUCANAGGGGGAUAACGUUCUGAAAAGAACGCUAAUACCGCAUAACAUCAAUUUAUCGCAUGAUAGGUUGAUCAAAGGAGCAAUCCGCUGGAAGAUGGACUCGCGCCCGAUUAGCCAGUUGGCGGGGUAACGGCCCACCAAAGCGACGAUCGGUAGCCGGACUGAGAGGUUGAACGGCCACAUUGGGACUGAGACACGGCCCAGACUCCUACGGGAGGCAGCAUG
rnacentral:rRNA from 1 species